GUUCUGGGAUUUACAGGCAUGAGCCGCCAUGCCUGGCCUGCCAUAUAUAAACUUUAGGUAUUUUAGUAUAACGUACUUUGUUCUAAAUUUUUUCUAACCAUAAUACAGUCUUUCUUUAAUUCAGAGUACAUGGUCUUUUCUGCCCAGUAGAGCUUACGUUUGUGUUAAGAAAAUUUUCUUUUAUGAUUACCCAUAGGUCAACAAAUUUUAGCCUUUUAUAGGAAGACUGAAUUUACUUUUCAAAACUGAGUAAAUUGUUAAGCUCAUUUUGAGUGAUGCAAGUAACCCAUCCAAUGCAAUGUAGAUUGUCCUUCUUAUCUUUAUUAUUAAUGAAGAGAAACACAACCAUUUAGAGUUUCUCAAAGGAGAUCGAAUUUUCAAUAUUUAGGGUGUGGGCCAGUGUUUUGGAAUGAACAUGUUUUUUCUUCAUGAGUUUCAUUAAACAUGUUUACUAAUGUUUUACACCAGUGGAAUUUCAUAUCUGUCAGAAUUCAUGAUCUCAUUCAGUUGUUAUUAGAAAAACUUUAGACAAAUUAAAUUUAAUGGAGUUUAACUGAGCAAAGAAUGAUUUGCACAUCAGACAGCCCUCAGAACCAAAAUAGGUUUGGAGCAAUUCUGGUGCUGCAGCGUGGUCAGAUCAUUUUAUGGACAGAAAAAGGAAUGUGACAUUCAAAAAAUGGAAGCGAGGUACUGAAACAGUUGGAUUGGUUACAGCUGGGUGUUUGCCUUAUUUGAACCUGGUUCGAACAGUUUGCUACCUGUGAUUGGCUACUUGUUACAAGAGUAGGUUACAGUCUGUUUACAUAUCAAGUUAGGUUAUAGCUCACUAUGCAUGGAGAAACCUUUAGGCAAAAGUUAAAAUACAUAGGGAGGCAGCUUUAGGCCAAACUGAAUUUAACAAUGACCCCUCCAACCUCUUAAUUAUACCACAAACUUUAAGCAUAAUGUCACUUUCUGUCAUUAUUGUAAAUGAACAGACUUAUUUGGUCUCAGUAUAGAAUUCAUAAUUCUUAUUUGGUCUCAGCUCCCAUCUGUUUUGAGAUCUGUUUGCUUCUUUAAGGCUUUGGUUUGAUUAUGUGGAACAUAGCAUAAGUGACUCCAAGCUGGGUUAGUGUAGUGUGUUAGGGCCUAGUGCAUGAGUUCAGUUCAAAACAGUGGCCUCUCAUAAUUUUGUUUAACAAAUGUUAGAUGAGAGCAUGACCAAAACUUAGAGCUUUGUUGCUAUUCUUAGUUACCAUCAUUUUGGGGUUCUAGUCUCAACAAGUCAAUCAUAGGUUACAGUAGUGUCCUCAUGAUCACAUGUCUUUGGGUUUUUGUUGUUCUAGCUGAAGAGGGACCAUUUGGCAUUCUACAGAUGGCUGCAUGUACACAUUUAAAACUUUUGAGAGAAUACGGCACAUCAGGGAGACUACUAUUAUGGCUAUCAAAAGGAUAAUACCAAGAGUUUGGAGUAUGCUUCUUAGCCAGGUUUCCCAUGAACAAAACCAAUCAAAAUCAAAUAGAUCAAAGAAUGAACCAGAUGAGGAAUCUACCUAUUUUAACUAAGCAGCUUGUUGGUUAAUCCCCUGUGACUGAGUCUCUAUAAUACCUGAUGUAUUCAUCUAUGUGUAAUAAGUGUCAAAAACUGCACAGAUUCCUCUCUUUUCAUAGUUAAUCUAGAGCAAUUUUAUUAUCUAAUAAAACUUUAGAAAGAGAAUUUAAAGAAGUCUGUUGUGCAACCAUAGCCUUUGCAGUUGAACCUGCUGUAGAGCCUAUAAUGAGUGAUACAUUUGUAAGCACUGCCUCAUUUAUAUUUAUUUCAGGCCAUGAGAAAAGAGACCUAAGAAAUGAUGCCCAUCCAGAAGAGUGAAGACUUCCUGAAAAUGUUCUUUUAACCUAAGAUGUAGGUUAAGAGGAGUGAAAAAAUGUUCUGUUUCUGACUGAUGAUGGAGCAACAAAGAUCCUAAGAGCGAUCCCGCAAUUCAUUCAUCUUGAAUAGACUCAUAGAGCUUCAAGAGUGGGCUUCUGAAGCCCACUCCAACUCCAUUCUUGUUCCUUGGUCCCUCUGGAGCUGGUCUGGCCCCUAAGGAUGUAAAGGGGAGAAAAUAGCAUAGAACCACU
rnacentral:lncRNA from 1 species